rnacentral:rRNA from 1 species
CCCUACGGGGGGCAGCAGUGGGGAAUAUUGGGCAAUGGGCGCAAGCCUGACCCAGCAACGCCGCGUGAAGGAAGAAGGCUUUCGGGUUGUAAACUUCUUUUAAGAGGGAAGAGCAGAAGACGGUACCUCUUGAAUAAGCCACGGCUAACUAUGUGCCAGCAGCCGCGGUAAUACAUAGGGAGCAAGCGUUAUCCGGAUUUAUUGGGUGUAAAGGGUGCGUAGACGGGAAAUUAAGUUAGUUGUGAAAUCCCUCGGCUUAACUGAGGAACUGCAACUAAAACUGAUUUUCUUGAGUACUGGAGAGG